CGUCAGUCCUGAUGGACACAUGGCUGCUCCCGGUCUUGUCCUCAAGUCAUUUCUCAGGUGUUGAGGUCCAGCUGAAGGGUCCUUCCUGACAAGGAGGGGGUGACUAAAUUCCCCCGCUGGGGGCUUUCACCGACGGAUACCCCCUCACUAAAGCUCCGGAGGUCAGACCUCCAAAAUCAAGGUGUCAGCAGGGCCGGCUCCUUCCAGAGGCUCCGGAGGAGAACCCCUCUCCCGGCCUUUUCCAGCUUCCGGAGGCUCGUGGCCCCAUCAGGCCCCCUCUGCUCUGCUGAUGCAUCUCCUUCACUGACCCUCUGGCUUCCCGCGUAUAAGGACCCAGAUGUGCCUUUCCGAGAGCGCGUCCGCGGGACGGAGAGCCCACUGCCACCCGUGGGGCGAGAGCCAGUCUUCAUCCCCGGAGCAGGCGGUUCACCCCUCACCCCACCGGUGGGAGGGGCCACGCGG